rnacentral:rRNA from 1 species
AUAUCAAUAAGCGGAGGAAAAGAAACCAACAGGGAUUGCCUUAGUAACGGCGAGUGAAGCGGCAAAAGCUCAAAUUUGAAAUCUGGCACCUUCGGUGUCCGAGUUGUAAUUUGAAGAAGGUAACUUUGGAGUCAGCUCUUGUCUAUGUUCCUUGGAACAGGACGUCACAGAGGGUGAGAAUCCCGUGCGAUGAGAUGUCUGAUUCUAUGUAAAGUGCUUUCGAAGAGUCGAGUUGUUUGGGAAUGCAGCUCUAAGUGGGUGGUAAAUUCCAUCUAAAGCUAAAUAUUGGCGAGAGACCGAUAGCGAACAAGUACAGUGAUGGAAAGAUGAAAAGAACUUUGAAAAGAGAGUGAAAAAGUACGUGAAAUUGUUGAAAGGGAAGGGUUUGAGAUCAGACUUGGUAUUUUGUAUGUCUUGCUUUCGGGUGGGGCCUCUACAGUUUACUGGGCCAGCAUCGGUUUGGACGGUAGGAUAAUGACAUUGGAAUGUGGCACCACUUCGGUGGUGUGUUAUAGACUUUGUUGAUACUGCCUGUCUAGAC